ACGGUCUUAUAGUGUUGAAACACCGGUUGCCAUACGAUUACCGAAGCGAAGCAAAGUCGAGCCUGGUCAAUACCGAGGUGGGUAACCGCUUCGGAAUACCAGAUGCUGUAAG